rnacentral:rRNA from 1 species
CUUGAACGCUGGCGGCAGGCCUAACACAUGCAAGUCGAGCGGUAGAGAGGUGUUUGCACCCCUUGAGAGCGGAGGACGGGUGAGUAAUGCCUAGGAAUCUGCCUGGUAGUGGGGGAUAACGUUCGGAAACGGACGCUAAUACCGCAUACGCCCUCCGGGAGAAAGCAGGGGACCUUCGGGCCUUGCGCUAUCAGAUGAGCCUAGGUCGGAUUAGCUAGUUGGUGAGGUAAUGGCUCACCAAGGCGACGGUCCGUAACUGGUCUGAGAGGAGGGUCAGGCGCACGGGAACUGAGACACGGGCCGGAGGCGUACUGGAGGCAGCAGUGGGGAGUCUGGGACAAUGAGCGCAGGCCUGAUGCAGCCAUGCGGCGUCUGUGAAGAGGGCCUUAUGGUUGUAAAGCACUUUAAGCGGGGAGUAGGCUACUUUUGAUAAUACCUAGGGAUAGUGGACGUUACUCGCAGAAUAAGCACCGGCUAACUCUGUGCCAGCAGCCGCCGUAACAC